rnacentral:rRNA from 1 species
AGAGUUUGAUCAUGGCUCAGGAUGAACGCUGGCGGUAUGCUUUACACAUGCAAGUCGUACGAGAGUUUUGAACUCAAGUGGCGGACGGGUGAGUAACACGUAAGAAUUUGCCUUUAGGAGGGGGACAACAACUGGAAACGGUUGCUAAUACCCCAUAUGCUUUCGAGUGAAACGGUUUUUCCGCCUAAAGAGAAGCUUGCGGCUGAUUAGCUUGUUGGUAAGGUAAUGGCUUACCAAGGCGACGAUCAGUAUCUGGUUUGAGAGGACGAUCAGACACACUGGAACUGAGACACGGUCCAGACUCCUACGGGAGGCAGCAGUGGGGAAUUUUCCGCAAUGGGCGAAAGCCUGACGGAGCAAUACCGCGUGAGGGAUGAAUGCCUAUGGGUUGUAAACCUCUUUUUUCAGGGAGGAAUCAAUGACGUUACCUGAAGAAUAAGCAUCGGCUAACUCCGUGCCAGCAGCCGCGGUAAGACGGAGGAUGCAAGUGUUAUCCGGAAUCACUGGGCGUAAAGCGUCUGUAGGUGGUUUGAUAAGUCAACUGUUAAAUCUUGAGGCUCAACCUCAAAACCGCAGUCGAAACUAUUAGACUAGAGUAUAGUAGGGGUAAAGGGAAUUUCCAGUGGAGCGGUGAAAUGCGUAGAGAUUGGAAAGAACACCGAUGGCGAAGGCACUUUACUGGGCUAUUACUAACACUGAGAGACGAAAGCUAGGGUAGCAAAUGGGAUUAGAUACCCCAGUAGUCC